rnacentral:rRNA from 1 species
GACGAACGCUGGUGGCGUGCUUAACACAUGCAAGUCGAACGGGAAUUAGUAAACAGAAGCCUCGGUGGAAGAUUACUAAUGAGAGUGGUGAACGGGUGAGUAACGCGUGAGCAAACUGCUUAUGAUAGUGGGAUAGGCUCGGGAUACCGGGAUUAAUACUGCAUAAAAUCGUAGAAUCACAUGAUUUAACGGUGAAAGACUUAUCGGUCAUAGAUGGGCUCGCGUCUGAUUAGCUAGUUGGGGAGAUAACAGCCCAACAAGGCGACGAUCAGUAGCCGGUCUGAGAGGAUGAACGGCCACAUUGGAACUGAGACACGGUCCAGACUCCUACGGGAGGCAGCAGUGGGGAAUAUUGCACAAUGGGGGAAACCCUGAUGCAGCGACGCCGCGUGAACGAAGAAAGUAUUCAUAUCGUAAAGUUCUGUCCUAUAGGAAGAUAAUGACAGUACCAUAGAAGAAAGCUCCGGCUAAAUACGUG